rnacentral:lncRNA from 1 species
GUUUGUUGAAGGCAGCUGUGAAAUGAUCCUGGACAAGCUUACUGCAUUAUCCUGGGUUCAAGUUUCAGUAUGUCUAAUGAACGCUUUAGGAAACCAGAUGUCAUGAGCUUAGCAGAAUCUGCAAUUACAUCUGACACCUUGAUGCCUUCCUUUCCUUUGGAACUUUCUUUCUUCUGUGGCAGCAGUCAGAAGCUUCCCCAAGGAGGGUGGAUGCUGAGUAAGUGUGAAAAGGAGAGAGGAGAUGAGAACCAGACUGAUGCCAAAGGGGAAAGAGAAAGUCAAACCAGAGCCAAAAUGAACCACUAAAAACAGCAAGUGUAUACGUAUUUGGGCAAUAUAGUAAACCUCUAUUAUGUAUCAUGUGAGUCUAUAAUAAAUAAAUUUUAUGUUAUGACUCA